AAAAAAGCAGGGACCUAUUGCCUUUUUUGUGAAUGGGUCUCUCGUAAACUUUAGGGACAUCAAAAAUUGCAUUGUUAUUGGGUUGAUUUACUUGUGAUGGCUUGGUUCGGUAAACGAUGAUACAACC